rnacentral:rRNA from 1 species
UGGGGAAUAUUGGACAAUGGGGGGAACCCUGAUCCAGCCAUGCCGCGUGUGUGAAGAAGGCCUUAUGGUUGUAAAGCACUUUAAGCGAGGAGGAGGGUACUGGGAUUAAUACUACCAGCUACUGGACGUUACUCGCAGAAUAAGCACCGGCUAACUCUGUGCCAGCAGCCGCGGUAAUACAGAGGGUGCGAGCGUUAAUCGGAUUUACUGGGCGUAAAGCGUGCGUAGGCGGCUAAUUGAGUCGGAUGUAAAAUCCCCGAGCUUAACUUGGGAAUUGCAUUCGAUACUGGUUAGCUAGAGUGUGGGAGAGGAUGGUAGAAUUCCAGGUGUAGCGGUUAAAUGCGUAGAGAUCUGGAGGAAUACCGAUGGCGAAGGCAGCCAUCUGGCCUAACACUGACGCUGAGGUACGAAAGCAUGGGGAGCAAACAGG